AUCCAGAUGACGAGUCUCAAAUAGGACGGAACAAGAGUUCUGGAU
rnacentral:hammerhead_ribozyme from 1 species